AUGGUGUCAACGUGUCCCAAGCGACCUGGAAACCCCGGCGUGCUCAUACUAUUGACACUACCGUUGCUUCUAUUGGGUGCUAUCAAAAUCAAUUGUGCAACGCUCCCUGACAACAGCACGGAUGUGCUCUGGCUGCAAGCUUUCAGACAUGAGAUCAUUUCUGAUCCCUCUGGAUGGUUCAGCUCUUGGAACUCCAGCGCCAAUCACUGCUUGUGGCCGGGAGUGAGAUGCAGCCGAGCACAUCUAGGGCGCGUGGUGGCUCUCCAACUCGUUGGCCUAAACCUGGCUGGCCAAAUCAGCUCUUCCAUUGGGAACCUUACAUUCCUCAGAACCCUGAACCUAUCCACAAAUGGUUUUUCUGGCCGAUUACCUCCUCUGAACCAUCUGCAGAAACUCCAAGUCCUCGACCUAAGCGUCAACCAGUUGCAGGAUAGUAUCCCAGAUGCAAUCACCAACUGUUCCAGCUUAAGGAUAGUGGACCUAGCUAAAAACAUCUUGGUAGGCGAAAUCCCUCCAAAAUUAAGCCUCCUUUACAACCUCUCACAUUUACGACUUUCUCGGAACAAGCUCACCGGGAUCAUCCCACCAACCCUCGGAAACAUCACGAGCAUACAAAGACUUGUCCUUUCCUACAAUAAUCUAACUGGAAGUAUUCCUGAUGAGCUUGGGAAACUGACAAAUAUGAGGAAUGUGGCCCUAGGAGGAAAUAGGUUGUCAGGUGGAUUCCCACGGUGUCUCUUCAACCUUUCUAAAUCUCUUCAAGUACUAGCCUUGGAGUCGAAUAUGCUAAGCAAGCAACUGCCACCUAAUAUAGGAGAUGCCCUACCAAACCUCCAAGAGCUUUUUUUGAAUACCAACGUGUUUGAAGGUCGAAUUCCGGCUUCACUGGGCAAUGUUUCGGGGCUGGGAAGGAUACAGUUAGAAAUCAACAAUUUAACUGGCGAAAUUCCGAGCUCUUUGGGCAAACUUUCAAACAUGUAUGUGUUAAACCUUCGGAAUAACAAUCUUGAAGCUAUUGACAUCCAAAGCUGGGAAUUCUUCAGUGCGUUAACAAACUGCACUAGUCUUGAAUGGUUGUCACUAGCUGAAAAUCAGCUACACGGAGCUAUACCAAACACGAUAGGUAACUUGUCCAGUAUCCUCGAUUAUCUAUAUCUUGGUGGAAACGAGCUUUCGGGCACGGUUCCGCCAAGCAUAGGGAACCUAAGGAACUUAACUUUUUUAGGACUUGGCAAUAACAAUUUAACUGGUACACUUGAAGAAUGGAUUGGGAAGCUAAUAAAGUUAAAACACCUUAACCUGCAAAUGAAUAGCUUCAUUGGGCCAUUGUCAUCGUUCCUUGGCCAGCUUACUCACUUGAUCGAUCUUGAUCUAGGAAACAAUAAAUUUGAAGGCCCCAUACCAUCUAACAUAGGGAACUUGCAACAACUCUCGACUUUGAACCUUAGCUCGAACAAUAUUCAGGGUGACAUACCUACUCAGCUUGGCAGCAUCACAUCGCUCACCCAUCUAGAUCUUUCAUCAAACAAGCUUACGGGGAGAAUUUCCUGA
rnacentral:rRNA from 1 species